rnacentral:rRNA from 1 species
AUGAACGCUAGCUACAGGCUUAACACAUGCAAGUCGAGGGGCAGCAUGGUCUUAGCUUGCUAAGACUGAUGGCGACCGGCGCACGGGUGAGUAACACGUAUCCAACCUGCCGUCUACUCUUGGACAGCCUUCUGAAAGGAAGAUUAAUACAAGAUGGCAUCAUGAGUCCGCAUGUUCACAUGAUUAAAGGUAUUCCGGUAGACGAUGGGGAUGCGUUCCAUUAGAUAGUAGGCGGGGUAACGGCCCACCUAGUCUUCGAUGGAUAGGGGUUCUGAGAGGAAGGUCCCCCACAUUGGAACUGAGACACGGUCCAAACUCCUACGGGAGGCAGCAGUGAGGAAUAUUGGUCAAUGGGCGAGAGCCUGAACCAGCCAAGUAGCGUGAAGGAUGACUGCCCUAUGGGUUGUAAACUUCUUUUAUAAAGGAAUAAAGUCGGGUAUGCAUACCCGUUUGCAUGUACUUUAUGAAUAAGGAUCGGCUAACUCCGUGCCAGCAGCCGCGGUAAUACGGAGGAUCCGAGCGUUAUCCGGAUUUAUUGGGUUUAAAGGGAGCGUAGAUGGAUGUUUAAGUCAGUUGUGAAAGUUUGCGGCUCAACCGUAAAAUUGCAGUUGAUACUGGAUAUCUUGAGUGCAGUUGAGGCAGGCGGAAUUCGUGGUGUAGCGGUGAAAUGCUUAGAUAUCACGAAGAACUCCGAUUGCGAAGGCAGCCUGCUAAGCUGCAACUGACAUUGAGGCUCGAAAGUGUGGGUAUCAAACAGGAUUAGAUACCCUGGUAGUCCACACGGUAAACGAUGAAUACUCGCUGUUUGCGAUAUACAGCAAGCGGCCAAGCGAAAGCGUUAAGUAUUCCACCUGGGGAGUACGCCGGCAACGGUGAAACUCAAAGGAAUUGACGGGGGCCCGCACAAGCGGAGGAACAUGUGGUUUAAUUCGAUGAUACGCGAGGAACCUUACCCGGGCUUAAAUUGCAGAUGAAUUACGGUGAAAGCCGUAAGCCGCAAGGCAUCUGUGAAGGUGCUGCAUGGUUGUCGUCAGCUCGUGCCGUGAGGUGUCGGCUUAAGUGCCAUAACGAGCGCAACCCUUGUUGUCAGUUACUAACAGGUUCUGCUGAGGACUCUGACAAGACUGCCAUCGUAAGAUGUGAGGAAGGUGGGGAUGACGUCAAAUCAGCACGGCCCUUACGUCCGGGGCUACACACGUGUUACAAUGGGGGGUACAGAGGGCCGCUACCACGCGAGUGGAUGCCAAUCCCCAAAACCUCUCUCAGUUCGGACUGGAGUCUGCAACCCGACUCCACGAAGCUGGAUUCGCUAGUAAUCGCGCAUCAGCCACGGCGCGGUGAAUACGUUCCCGGGCCUUGUACACACCGCCCGUCACACCAUGAGAGCCGGGGGGACCCGAAGUCGGUAGUCUAACCGCAAGGAGGACGCCGCCGAAGGUAAAACUGGUGAUUGGGGUG